AUUGAACGCUGGCGGCAGGCCUAACACAUGCAAGUCGAGCGAGCGGCGGACGGGUGAGUAAUGUCUGGGAAACUGCCUGAGGGAGGGGGAUAACUACUGGAAACGGUAGCUAAUACCGCAUACAAUAAGAUGUGCCCAGAUGGGAUUAGCUAGUAGGUGGGGUAACGGCUCUCCUAGGCGACGAUCCCUAGCUGGUCUGAGAGGAUGACCAGCCACCCUGUAACUCAGACACGGUCCAGACUCCUACGGUAGGCAGCAGUGGGGAAUAUUGCACAAUGGUCGCAAGCCGGAUGCAGCCAUGCCGCGUGUGUGAAGAAGGCCUUCGGGUUUUAAAGCACUUUCAGCGGGGAGGCGUUACCCGCAGAAGAAGCACCGGCUAACUCCGUGCCAGCAGCCGCGGUAAUAC
rnacentral:rRNA from 1 species